rnacentral:tRNA from 1 species
GACAAAGUGGCUGAGCAUAGGCGGUAGAUUGUAAAUUUAUUAACGAGUAAAAACUCCUUUGUUA